CCGUUGCAAUAGGGGCGGAACCGGGCUGCCCCGGCGGAGGCGGGUGUAGAGGAGCGGGCCGGCCGGAAAUCCCUGGGGGCGGGGCCAAGAAAGACCGGGGAGGCGGAGGAGAGAGUUUCUGGGCAAAGUCCCUCCAGAGGCUUUGAAGAAACUCAGCCCAUGCCCUCUGAGCUCCCAGUCCAAAGGGUGCGACACCUUGUAAGGUGAAUAAUACACCAUGUGCUCUGCCAUGCGAUCCCACCAAAUAAAGGCUUGGGGAAGAGAAAGAAAAGACAACAGACAGGAGGAGCCCCAGGAUCACAUGAAGGAAGGCCCCAGGACAUGGAGAUAAUGCUGACUUCGUCUCCUUCCUGUGCACACCCACCCCUAGUCACUCGUCGGGACUGCAGUGUACUAGAUGGCCACAGAAGGAUCCAGGCAUUCGGCAAGAACCACCCAAGGAAGAAUUAAGAGAAAAGAUCAAAGAACCACUGCCUUGCCACGGGUACAGACUCUGGAGCUCUGCAGAAUGGAAACCUGGAACAGAUUUAUUGGCUGAUGCUCCUUAAUAACAUGAAAAAGAAACUACCAGGGAUGUUCAAAAGAGGAAGUGCAUUUCCUUUCAGAAUGUGACCUCAGAAACCCAUACCAAAGCUUAGACCUACUUUGGAAGACAGCUGUACAAAAGUCCAAAUACUCCACUAAUUCCUGAACUGGACUACUCUGAGUCACUUCCACUUUUGAGCGCAUCAUUUUCCUAUUGAAAGCCCCUACAUAUUAUUUGACCACUUUUGACAGUUUAUACAAAUUGAUCCCAGAUUAUAACCUUUAAAGGGUCUCUUGUACAAUUCCACAGAAAGACUUCUGACUCUUGAUGCUUACAGCAGCUGAUGAGAAGAGGUGCCUUUGACUCUCCAGCACCAAGAGGGUGCCUGCGUCAGUAGUAGUUUUGAACACUCUCUCCACAGCUACCUCAAGCAUCAGCCUGGGCUUCAAGGCUCUCCAUUCUGCUGCUGGGACCAAGAACCUUAAAAGGUUGACAGAAGUGCCUCAUCCAGGGAUCAUUACCAAAAUAUGAAGCAAUCAGGUGAGAGAAAGGGAGACAGAAAGGUUGAGUCAAGAAAGGAGUGCAAGAAGCUGAUCCCAAAUAAAAAGACAAAAUUAAGAAAGGAAAAACAUUAUGUAUGUGUAUAUAAACUAAAAGCAGAGCAUAUGAAUGCUUAAUCUGGUGGGAAGCCAAGACAACAUCUCUAGAAAAGCUUGAUGUGUCACAACAAGGCUCAGCCAUAGGGAAAUAAGGCAAUAUAAAAAAUGACCAAGGUAUUUUGGUCACAGAAUGGUCUCCUUCCUCCUCCCAGCCAACCCCUGCAAAUGCAUCUCUAUAUAUCUUUUAUAUAUAUAUAUAUAUGUAUAUAUAUAUAAUAUAGAAUCUGGUUUUUUUUUUUUUUGUUAAAAA